rnacentral:rRNA from 1 species
AGGGAAUUUUCGGCAAUGGGGGAAACCCUGACCGAGCAACGCCGCGUGAGUGAUGACGGCCUUCGGGUUGUAAAGCUCUGUUGUAAGGGAAGAACGGUAGAUAGAGAAUAUCUAAGUGACGGUACCUUACCAGAAAGCCACGGCUAACUACGUGCCAGCAGCCGCGGUAAUACGUAGGUGGCGAGCGUUAUCCGGAAUUAUUGGGCGUAAAGGGUGCGUAGGCGGCCUGUUAAGUAAGUGGUUAAAUUGUUGGGCUCAACCCAAUCCAGCCACUUAAACUGGCAGGCUAGAGUAUUGGAGAGGCAAGUGGAAUUCCAUGUGUAGCGGUAAAAUGCGUAGAUAUAUGGAGGAACACCAGUGGCGAAGGCGGCUUGCUAGCCAAAGACUGACGCUCAUGCACGAAAGCGUGGGGAGCAAAUAGGAUUAGAUACCCUAGUAGUCCACGCCGUAAACGAUGAAUACUAAGUAUUGGGGAAACUCAGUGCUGCAGCUAACGCAAUAAGUAUUCCGCCUGUGGAGUAUGCACGCAAGUGUGAAACAUAAAGGAAUUGACGGGGGCCCGCACAAGCGGUGGAGUAUGUGGUUUAAUUCGACGCAACGCGAAGAACCUUACCAGGCCUUGACAUCCCUUGCAAAGCUGUAGAGAUACAGUAGAGGUUAUCAAGGAGACAGGUGGUGCAUGGUUGUCGUCAGCUCGUGUCGUGAGAUGUUGGGUUAAGUCCCGCAACGAGCGCAACCCUUGCCUUCAGUUACCAGCAUUCAGUUGGGGACUCUGGAGGGACUGCCGGUGAUAAACCGGAGGAAGGUGGGGAUGACGUCAAAUCAUCAUGCCCCUUAUGGCCUGGGCUACACACGUACUACAAUGGCUGUUACAACGUGCAGCGACCUAGCGAUAGGAAGCGAAUCACUAAAAGACAGUCUCAGUUCGGAUUGAAGUCUGCAACUCGACUUCAUGAAGCUGGAAUCGCUAGUAAUCGCGGAUCAGAAUGCCGCGGUGAAUACGUUCUC